rnacentral:lncRNA from 1 species
UGUGGCUGCCCGCUAGAACCAUCCAAGCAACUUUUGGAGAAAUCAUAGAGCUCGGUAAAGCCCCACAGACCAACGCCUCCAAAUCUCUUGAGGGUGAGGGGCAGUGUGCGGGAGCCAGCUCCUGCCAGCUCCAGGGACAAUUGCUACAUUUUCAGUUUUGCAAGCCACUUGCAUCAAUAUGGUAGCUCGAAGUGAGCCUCGGUAGAAGUAUUUACCCAGAAGUGGGCCAGCACUCCAAAUCCGGGCCUUUUGUGGUGGCGGGGAGCCCUGUGGAUCAGCAGACCAUCGGGGCAGACCUGACACCGGACACUGGUAUUUCUGAAGUGCCCCGGGUGACUCCAGCGUGCUGCCAGGGUUAAGAAGCUGCGUUUGCUUUCUGCCUUCAGGCUCAAGAAAUGGCCCUGGCUGUUCCUCCUUCCUUGCUACUUAGAAGUCACUCUAUCCGCCCUGCAGCUUAGGAAAUUGGUCCUGUCAGACGCCGGUGGAGGUGUGAUUCUAGUAACAUUUUUUGUUUGCUUUGAGACAUCUUAUCCACCUUACAUCUUUUUGAUAUACUGCAGAUUGACCCUUAACUUUCAGGGCUGUAAUCAGAUUGUUGAAAUUCACAGUGAAUGCGA